rnacentral:sRNA from 1 species
GUCAGGCAUGGUGGCCUAUGCCUGUAAUCCCAGUGGCUUGGGAGGCUGAGACAGGAGGAUAGCGAGUUCAAAGCCAGCCUCAGCAACAGCAAGGUGCUAAGCAACUCAGUGAGACCCUGUCUCUA